rnacentral:rRNA from 1 species
AGCGAACGCUGGCGGCAGGCCUAACACAUGCAAGUCGAACGAACUCUUCGGAGUUAGUGGCGGACGGGUGAGUAACACGUGGGAACGUGCCUUUAGGUUCGGAAUAACUCAGGGAAACUUGUGCUAAUACCGAAUGUGCCCUUCGGGGGAAAGAUUUAUCGCCUUUAGAGCGGCCCGCGUCUGAUUAGCUAGUUGGUGAGGUAACGGCUCACAAAGGCAACGAUCAGUAGCUGGUCUGAGAGGAUGAUCAGCCACAUUGGGACUGAGACACGGCCAAGACGACGAAGGGAGGCAGCAGGAGGGAAGCUGCCGCAAGGGGCGAAAGAAGGACGGAGCAACGACGAGGGAGUGAUGAAGGUAGUCGGAGCGGAAAACUCGGUUAUUAGGGAAGAACAAAUGUGUAAGUAACUAUGCACGUCUGGACGGGACAGAAUCAGAAAGACACGGCCAACUAAGGG